AACAGGAUUAGAUACCCUGGUAGUCCACGCCCUAAACGGUGUCUACUAGUUGUCGGGUCUUAAUUGACUUGGUAACGCAGCUAACGCGUGAAGUAGACCGCCUGGGGAGUACGGUCGCAAGAUUAAAACUCAAAGGAAUUGACGGGGACCCGCACAAGCGGUGGAUGAUGUGGUUUAAUUCGAUGCAACGCGAAAAACCUUACCUACACUUGACAUGCCAGAAAUCCCGCAGAGAUGUGGGAGUGCCGCAAGGAAUCUGGGCACAGGUGCUGCAUGGCUGUCGUCAGCUCGUGUCGUGAGAUGUUGGGUUAAGUCCCGCAACGAGCGCAACCCUUGUCACUAGUUGCUACAUUUAGUUGGGCACUCUAGUGAGACUGCCGGUGACAAACCGGAGGAAGGUGGGGAUGACGUCAAGUCCUCAUGGCCCUUAUGUGUAGGGCUACACACGUCAUACAAUGGUCGGUACAGAGGGUUGCCAACCCGCGAGGGGGAGCUAAUCUCACAAAGCCGAUCGUAGUCCGGAUCGCAGUCUGCAACUCGACUGCGUGAAGUCGGAAUCGCUAGUAAUCGUGGAUCAGCAUGUCACGGUGAAUACGUUCCCGGGUCUUGUACACACCGCCCGUCACACCAUGGGAGUGGAAUCCGCCAGAAGUAGGUAGCCUAACCGCAAGGGGGGCGCUUACCACGGUAGGUUUCAUGACUGGGGUGAAGUCGUAACAAGGUAACC
rnacentral:rRNA from 1 species